rnacentral:tRNA from 1 species
GCCGGAGUGGCGGAAUAGGUAGACGCACAGGACUUAAAAUCCUGGAAGCUGUAAAGCUUGUGCCGGUUCGAUUCCGGCCUCCGGCA